rnacentral:lncRNA from 1 species
UCCUUCAUCUAUGGUUAUGCUCUUGGUGUGUUGUCAUCUUGGAAUACCCUUCUUCCCACAACAGAAUACUCACUUCCUUUCUCUCCUUUCUUAUCUCCCCUAGUUGCACAGAAUCACCCUUGGGUCCUAGUCUUCUGCCCAGUAAUUGGACCCUAUUUUCCAGAAUACCUGAUAAAUUGCAAGUUUGUGCCCCACAGCUGCACAGACUGCCUGAAGUUACAUUUAGAGACUGAAAUCACUGCACCUUAAAAACAAAAGAUUGGGCUGCACUGUAUUCCUAAUGUUUCAUCAUUACUAACAGGAUACUCCUCAUGCUAUUGCUGUCUGGUAAGUAACUCUCGUUAUCUGUAAAUGGCAGUCCAAAAUACUGAGGUGCAAAGAAGUCAAAUAUAUUUCCAUGAACCUCAGAAAAUAGGAGAUCCAAAGGCUGUGGUGAGUCUUCGGGUCUAAACUUUAGCAAUACUAAAUUUUGACAGAACAUAUUUUGACAUUAGUAAAGGAUAGAUCUUUAAUAUCCUAUUUGUUUAUUUGUUCAUUUGAAAUACCAGCAUUUAGAAGAAUAAGAAACAUGACCUCCCGAACCUAUUAUCACAGAUUUUGGCAAAUAUUUUAGAAUGACUCUGCUAAACAAGAUGGAAGUACUCAAAGGACUUGUUUGGAAGACCCUCCAGAGAGAUACAUUUCCAAAGGAGACUCCUGAGUGGACAGAAGGGGUGAUAGGGUGAAGUUGAGCACUGAUGUUUCCUGUGUGGAACACUGUAUGUGUUGGUGAUUCUUUGAACUACCCAUUAGUAUUCUGUGGUAUUCUGUACAUUUGAAAUGCAUUGGCUUCAUUUG